rnacentral:rRNA from 1 species
UACGGAGGGUGCAAGCGUUGUCCGGAAUCAUUGGGCGUAAAGCGCGACGUAGGCGGCUUGUUAAGUCGGAUGUGAAAGCCCCGGGCUCAACCUGGGAAUGGCACUCGAUACUGGCAAGCUGGAGUACGGUAGAGGAUGGUGGAAUUCCCGGUGUAGCGGUGAAAUGCGCAGAUAUCGGGAGGAACACCAAUGGCGAAGGCAGAUCUCUGGGCCGUAACUGACGCUGAGGAGCGAAAGCAUGGGGAGCGAACAGG